AUCUACAUCUAAAGCUAUAAUAUAUAAACACACUGAAUGUACACUAGAUGCAGAAGAGUUUUGUGGGUUUGUACUGAAGUUUGAAUGUACACAGGUUGUUUUAUGACUUGAUACAGAGACUAUUUCCUGUAAGUGAACUCUGUGCUGAUACAGGGUUUGAUUUAACACACCGAUGUUGGAGUGAAGUAAACGUGUGUCCUGCUGUAAUCUGGAGAAGGAGACAUGACCUCCAACAUGAGUGUGUCUGGAAAACAGGACUUAAAGAGAGACGAGAGAAUGAUGAAGGGAAAGAGAUCAGACUCACCAGAACCCAGCUGUGUGUCCAUGAAGAGUGACUGGUCAAUGGAUAUUCCAAAUCACUUCAGAGACGGAGCCAGUUCUCCUGAUGUGAGACCACAACAGAAGAAAUCAAACCUCAGCAGAAAUCAGCUGGACUCCAUAUUCAAGGAGCUGGAACACAAAGUCAUCACCCUGAUAAAGAAUGAGCUGGAGAGGUUUAGGAAGCUCCUGAGUCCAGAUUACCCAGCAUGCACUGAGAGGGAGGUGCAGGAUGAGGAGGAUCUGCACAGUGUCAGAGACGGAGCGCUGAAGAUCACACUGCAUGUCCUGAAGAACAUGAACCACACAGAUCUCGCUAACACACUGCACAACAAGUCUGUGGCCUCUGUGUAUCAGACAAAGCUGAAAUCCAGCCUGAGAGAGAAGUUUAAAAGAAUUAAUGAAGGAAUCUCACAGCAUGGAAGCUCAGCACUUCUGAAUGAGAUCUACACAGAGCUCUACAUCACAGAGGGUUGGAGUGGAGACGUCAAUAAUGAACAUGAGGUGAGACAGAUUGAGACAGCGUCCAGGAGACCAGCAACACAGGAGACACCCAUCAAAUGUAAUGAUCUCUUUAAAGACAAGUCCAUCAGAAGUGUGCUGACUAAAGGAGUUGCUGGAAUUGGAAAAACAGUCUCUGUGCAGAAGUUCAUUCUGGACUGGGCUGAAGGAAACGCAAAUCAGGACGUCACCUUCAUGUUUCCACUUCCCUUUAGAGAGCUGAAUCUGAUGAAGCAGGAACAUCUCAGUCUGAUGGAUCUUCUUCAUCACUUUUUCCCUGAAAUGAGAAAACAACAAUUAAUAGCCUCCUACAAAGUGCUGUUGAUCUUUGAUGGUCUGGAUGAGUGUCGACUUCCUCUAAAUUUCCAGAAGAAUGAGAGAUUGUGUGAUGUGACAGAGUCAGCCUCAGUGGACGUGCUGCUGACGAACCUCAUCAAGGGGAAUCUGCUUCCCUCUGCUCUCCUCUGGAUAACCUCUCGACCAGCAGCAGCCAAUCAGAUCCCUCCUGAGUGUGUAGACCAGGUAACAGAGGUACGAGGGUUCAGUGAUCCUCAGAAAGAGGAGUACUUCAGGAAGAGGAUCAGUGAUCGGAGCCUGGCCAAUAAAAUCAUCUCACACAUGAAGUCUUCAAGAAGCCUCUACAUCAUGUGCCACAUCCCAGUCUUCUGCUGGAUCUCGGCCACUGUUCUAGAGAGAAUGUUGGGUGAAGCAGAGAGUGGAGAGAUCCCCAAGACUCUGACUCAAAUGUUCACACACUUCCUGAUCUUUCAGAUCAAACACAAGGACCAAAAGUACCAUCAGAAAUGUGACCCUGAUCCUCAGCAGACCAGAGAGAGUAUCCUGGCACUGGGAAAACUGGCUUUCCAACAGCUGGAGAAAGGAAACCUGAUCUUCUAUGAGGAAGACCUGAGAGAGUGUGGCAUUGAUGUGAGAGAAGCGUCAGUGUACUCAGGAGUGUGUACCCAGAUCUUCAGAGAGGAGUUUGGGCUUCACCUGGGGAAGGUGUUCAGCUUUGUACAUCUGAGUGUUCAGGAGUUUCUGGCUGCUUUAUACACAUUUCUCUCCUUCAUCAGCAGAAAUGUAACAGAACAACCAACCACUGAUCUGUCUGAUCUUCUCAACAAGUCAGACAUGUCUGAUCUCCUCAGGAGUGCAGUGGACAAGGCCUUACAGAGUGAGAACGGACACCUGGACCUGUUCCUCCGCUUCCUUCUGGGUCUCUCACUGGAGUCCAGUCAGACUCUCUUACGAGGCUUAAUGCCACAGACAGGAAGCAGCUCUCACAGCAAACAGGAAACAGUCGAGUACAUCAAGGAGAAGAUCAGGGAGAAUCCAUCUCCAGAGAAAUCCAUCAAUCUGUUCCACUGUCUGAAUGAACUGAAUGAUCAUUCUCUAGUGCAGGAAGUACAACGUUACCUGAACAGAGGAGGUUACAGUCGUCUCAGUGGAACCAGACUCUCUCCUGCUCAGUGGUCAGCUCUGGUGUUUGUGUUACUGAACUCAGAUCAGGAGCUGGAUGUGUUUGAUUUGACUAAAUAUGACCCAUCAGAGGAAUGUCUUCUGAAUCUGCUGCCAGUGGUCAAAGCCUCCAGAAGAGCUGAGCUGUGUGGGUGUAAUCUGACAGAGGAAAGCUGUAGAGUUCUGUCCUCAGUUCUCAGAUCAAACUCCUCCAGACUGAGAGAACUGGACCUGAGUUACAAUAACCUGCAGGAUUCAGGAGUGAAGCUGCUCUCUGCUGGACUGGAGAAUCCACACUGUACACUGGAGACACUGAGAAUCCCUUCUAUUGUGCGCUGGAAGAUCGCUGGACUUGAAGCAACUCCAAAUGGUGGCCUGUUUUGUGUGUUCCCUGAUAGUCAAUGAUUGCUGGAGCUCUGGAAAUAGCAGGUGAGAUUGCAGGCCGGAGUCCCGUCGCUGUCCAGGGAACCAAAAUCAACCUCCUCUACUCCUGAGACCACAGUGUGACUGAGAGCCUAGACUACAUGGCUACUUGGAACAUGAACAUGUUGCAGACACAGGAUCUUAUGAAGUCAGCGCAGGCAGCCCUGGAAAAGAAGAGUCCGAAAGACGUGCCCUUCUCCAAGCUUUAAAGGAGAAGAUCCAGGGCUGUUGAAGCUGCGGUGGAACUGAGACUUCAUCAUCCACAGAUCUUUAGUUCUUCUUGUUAAGUCUCAGUUUCUUUUUAGUCUUUUUAUUUUUAUACUGGUCAAAAGACUGAUUAGUGGAAGUGAAAUGAUGGAUGAACUUUUAAUUACUUGCUUUAUUAUGUGCAGGUGCCUUGUACAAUAAGACAGGGUAACUAAUACUCAAAAGCUUGUUUUGUGUGUUAACAUGUACAGUAGAUGUACAUAUUUUUUCUGGUCCUGUGUGACUGCAGAAUGUAGUGCAGUUAACACAGUAAAUUUCCUUGGAUGCUCACUUUUAACUCGAGGAGGUCACAGUUUGCCCAGACAUCUUUUUUUAAAUCCGUCAAUCCGUCACCCACACGUCAUUCUGGGGGACGAAGAGGAGGAAGCUGGACAGAUACAUUUAUUUAUUUAUUUAUCAUUGCUGUGUUUCCUCAAUCGAGUGCAGAAAGAAGAGAAACAAAACAACUGAUUUAAAAUAAAAAUAUAGAAAACAAUCUAAUGUAAGGUUCUGAUCCGGUUUGCUUUCAGCAGGAAGGCUGUCCUCUUUCCUGUUGCUCUUUCUCUUCUAUUAGUCCAUUUGUCCAGUCUGAAUCGGUUUGAUUUGUUUCGAGACGAUUCGGAGUCAAAUAAUUUUCUAGUGAGAGUCGCACACUUCCAAACGAACUAGACUGAGAUGAGUAUUUGAUUCUCACUAGAAAGUGAUUAGACUCUGAAUCAACUCGAAAUGAAUCAGUCAAACUGAUUCAGACUCUAUAAAAGGACUAUGAGAUGUGAUUAAGAUAUAUAUUCCAAUGUUUUGCUUUACAAUUCCACUGUGUGUGUGUGUGUGUGUGUGUGUGUGUGUGUGUGUGUGUGUGCGCGCGCGCACGUGUGUUUUUCAGGAGAACGAGAAACUCUGACACAACAGUACAUCCUGACCAUUGGUACUGUGUACACAUCAACAUACACGCACGUCUCCAUGCUGGACAUCUCAGGAGCUUUCACACACGGUGCUAGGAAUAUCCCGGGACAGAGAAACGCACCUCCUAAGUGAGCGAGUUUAGCGUCAACCGGUGAAAUUUGCUGUAGCGUGAACACUUCGCCUCUGAACAGAAAUGAUCUUUCGAGGCAGCUUCUUCAUCACUACCUGCUCCGUUUGACUCAAAAAUGUAACGACCGGUUUCAAAAAGUCACGAUGUCUUCAGUUCAUGUGAUUUUACUGUUGAAUUUAAACAGGAAAUGUGAAAUAUUUUUGUUCCUUUGUUUCCUCUACUGUCUUUUUGCUGUGAUCUUGAACACAGUUGUAAUUUUUUUUUUAAUAAUAAAUAAUUGAUCAUUCUAGUUCUCUCACUUUCCUUGUCCUAAUUGUCCUGUAUCUGUUAAAUCCGUUUCAUCUCUGGUCUUUCUGUCUGUAUGAACACUUGUAGAAAUGACAUGUAGUCCAUAUUUUUAAAUGAUUCAUGAUUUUGAAUUUAAAUAAAGAUAUUCUUUAAUUCUGUAUUUUGUCAUUUAAUUAUCAUUAGAAAUCAGAAGAUCAGAUUAAAGCCACGGCUUCUUUACCUGCCGAAGCUGUAAAACUUUCAAUAAAC